rnacentral:rRNA from 1 species
AUUGAACGCUGGCGGCAGGCUUAACACAUGCAAGUCGAGCGGGGUGAUGGUGCUUGCACUAUCACUUAGCGGCGGACGGGUGAGUAAUGCUUAGGAAUCUGCCUAUUAGUGGGGGACAACAUCUCGAAAGGGAUGCUAAUACCGCAUACGUCCUACGGGAGAAAGCAGGGGAUCACUUGUGACCUUGCGCUAAUAGAUGAGCCUAAGUCGGAUUAGCUAGUUGGUGGGGUAAAGGCCUACCAAGGCGACGAUCUGUAGCGGGUCUGAGAGGAUGCUACGCCACACUGGUACCUAGACACGGCCCAGACUCCUACGGGAGGCAGCAGUGGGGAAUAUUGGACAAUGGGUGGAACCCUGAUCCAGCCAUGCCGCGUGUUUGAGGAAGGCCUUAUGGUUUUACAGCACUUAAGCGAGGAGGAGGCUCUUUUGGUUAAUACCCAAGAUGAGUGGACGUUACUCGCAGAAUAAGCACCGGCUAACUCUGUGCCAGCAGCCGCAGUAA